UACGUAGGGGGCAAGCGUUGUCCGGAUUCAUUGGGCGUAAAGAGCGUGUAGGCGGCCAGGUAGGUCGGUUGUGAAAACUGGAGGCUCAACCUUCAGACGUCGACCGAAACCAUCUGGCUAGAGUCCGGGGGAGGAGAGUGAAUUCCUGGUGUAGCGGUGAAAUGCGCAGAUAUCAGGAAGAACACCCGUGGCGAAAGCGGCUCUCUGGAACGGUACUGACGCUGAGACGCGAAAGCGUGGGGAGCGAACAGGAUUAAGAUACC
rnacentral:rRNA from 1 species